UUGUUGAUACGCUUCAUAGCUUCACACUUGGCUUUGUACUUCAUCUGUGCAAAAAAUAAGAAUAAGAUGUGAACUAACAAUGCAGGUAUUUAAAUAACAGCAUUUACAAAAAAAUGUGAACUAACACUGCAGGUAUUUAAAUAACAAAAUUUACAAAAAAAUGAUGUGAACUAACAAUGCAGGUAUUUAAAUAACAAUAUUUACAAAAAAAUGUGAACUAACACUGCAGGUAUUUAAAUAACAAAAUUUACAAAAAAAUGAAUAGUGGCUCAGGUACACAUUAUUUAACUAUUUAAAGAUGAAUAGUUCCACGUUUCAAAUUAAUUGUAGGGCAAGUCAUCAGGAUAUUAGCG
rnacentral:lncRNA from 1 species